ensembl:snRNA U2 U2 spliceosomal RNA
AUUUCUUCUCGGCCUUUUGGCUAAGAUCAACUGUAGUGUCUGUUCUUAUCAGUUUAAAGACUAUGGAUAGAGCAACAAGAAUCUAGGAGAAACCCAAA